AGUGAUGCUCCUGAGCUCGGAUGAGGAGGAUGAGGAUGAAGAGGAAGAAAUGGAGGAGCCCCCCAAGAAACCCCCCAAAGGUGCCCAGAGGAGCAGCACUGCCAGGGGAAGGAAGCCGGAGAAGGAGGAUGAGCUCAGGAGAAACCUCGGCCCCAAGGCCCCCGUUCCCAGCAA